CAUUAAGAAGCUAUGGAUCAGCACUAGCCUUUUAAGCUAGAGAGAGGGGGAUACACACCCCCCUUAAUGG
rnacentral:tRNA from 1 species